AGCUUUGUGCAGUGCCAUUUCAUAGCCAGUGACGUUUAUCUGAGGCACUUGCUAAUUGAAAACUUUUCUCAAUACCCUGCCAUGAUGAAAUAUGGUUGGCACUGGCAAUUUUUGAGACUCUAUGGAGA
ensembl:snRNA U4 U4 spliceosomal RNA